rnacentral:rRNA from 1 species
UUGCUCCUUUGACGUUAGCGGCGGACGGGUGAGUAACACGUGGGUAACCUACCUAUAAGACUGGGAUAACUUCGGGAAACCGGAGCUAAUACCGGAUAAUAUUUCGAACCGCAUGGUUCGAUAGUGAAAGAUGGUUUUGCUAUCACUUAUAGAUGGACCCGCGCCGUAUUAGCUAGUUGGUAAGGUAACGGCUUACCAAGGCGACGAUACGUAGCCGACCUGAGAGGGUGAUCGGCCACACUGGAACUGAGACACGGUCCAGACUCCUACGGGAGGCAGCAGUAGGGAAUCUUCCGCAAUGGGCGAAAGCCUGACGGAGCAACGCCGCGUGAGUGAUGAAGGUCUUCGGAUCGUAAAACUCUGUUAUUAGGGAAGAACAUACGUGUAAGUAACUAUGCACGUCUUGACGGUACCUAAUCAGAAAGCCACGGCUAACUACGUGCCAGCAGCCGCGGUAAUACGUAGGUGGCAAGCGUUAUCCGGAAUUAUUGGGCGUAAAGCGCGCGUAGGCGGUUUUUUAAGUCUGAUGUGAAAGCCCACGGCUCAACCGUGGAGGGUCAUUGGAAACUGGAAAACUUGAGUGCAGAAGAGGAAAGUGGAACUCCAUGGGUAAAAGCCG